rnacentral:rRNA from 1 species
GACGAACCGUGCGAACGUUGUUCGGAUUCACUGGGCUUAAAGGGCGCGUAGGCGGCUUUAUAAGUCGGGGGUGAAAGCCUGUGGCUCAACCACAGAAUUGCCUUCGAUACUGUAUGGCUUGAGACCGGAAGAGGUAAGUGGAACUGCGAGUGUAGAGGUGAAAUUCGUAGAUAUUCGCAAGAACACCAGUGGCGAAGGCGGCUUACUGGUCCGGUUCUGACGCUGAGGCGCGAAAGCGUGGGGAGCAAACAGG